rnacentral:rRNA from 1 species
GGAUGCUGCAGUUAAAGGGUCCGUAGUCGGCCCGGGCGCGCUGUGAGGAAACCGCGGGGCCCAAGGCGGCGGGCAGCACGGGAGCGGGGGCGACAGGAACGGACAACGGCCGCGGGAUCCGGGGGCGAGAGGUGAAAAUCGGGGACCCCGCGGGGACGGGCGGAAGCGAAGGCGGCGGCCGGGGACGUGUCCGUUGAUCAAGGACGAAGGCCGGAGGAUCAAAGAUGAUUAGAUACCGUCGUAGUUCCGGCAGUAAACGAUGCCGACGGGGCGAGGCCAGGGGGCUGUGUCCGGGAGAAAUUGGAGUGUUUGGGCUCUGGGGAUAGUACGCUCGCAAGGGUGA